rnacentral:tRNA from 2 species
CGGCGCGUAGCUCAGCGGUGAGAGCGGCGUCCUUAUAAGACGCGAGUCGUGGGUUCAACUCCCACCGCGCCGA